rnacentral:rRNA from 1 species
UUGGAGGGCAAGUCUGGUGCCAGCAGCCGCGGUAAUUCCAGCUCCAAUAGCGUAUAUUAAAGUUAUUGCAGUUAAAAAGCUCGUAGUUGAGUUUCGGGGUUAGUAGGUUGGUCAUGCCUCUGGUAUGCACUGGCCUCACUGAUUCCUCCUUCCUGAUGAGCCGUAAUGCCAUUAAUUUGGUGUUGCGGGGAAUUUGGACUGUUACUUUGAAAAAAUUAGAGUGUUUAAAGCAAGCUAACGCUUGAAUACAUUAGCAUGGAAUAAUGAAAUAGGACGUUCGAUCCUAUUUUGUUGGUUUCUAGGAUUGACGUAAUGAUUAAUAGGGAUAGUUGGGGGCAUUAGUAUUCAAUUGUCAGAGGUGAAAUUCUUGGAUUUAUUGAAGACUAACUACUGCGAAAGCAUUUGCCAAGGAUGUUUUCAUUAAUCAAGAACGAAAGUUAGGGGAUCGAAGACGAUCAGAUACCGUCGUAGUCUUAACCAUAAACUAUGCCGACUAGGGAUCGGAUGAUGUUAAUUUUUUAAUGACUCAUUCGGCGCCUUACGGGAAAC